rnacentral:rRNA from 1 species
UACGGGGGGGGGCAAGCGUUGUUCGGAAUUACUGGGCGUAAAGGGCUCGUAGGCGGCCAACUAAGUCAGACGUGAAAUCCCUCGGCUUAACCGGGGAACUGCGUCUGAUACUGGUUGGCUUGAAUCCGGGAGAGGGAUGUGGAAUUCCAGGUGUAGCGGUGAAAUGCGUAGAUAUCAGGAGGAACACCGGUGGCGAAGGCGGGUCUCUGGGCCGUAACUGACGCUGAGGAGCGAAAGCGUGGGGAGCGAACAGG